CCUACGGGUGGCAGCAGUGAGGAAUAUUGGUCAAUGGACGAGAGUCUGAACCAGCCAAGUCGCGUGAAGGAAGACUGCCCUAUGGGUUGUAAACUUCUUUUGUCUGGGAAUAAAGUUCGGUAUGUGUCCUGGUUUGUGUGUACCAUAUGAAUAAGCAUCGGCUAACUCCGUGCCAGCAGCCGCGGUAAUACGGAGGAUCCGAGCGUUAUCCGGAUUUAUUGGGUUUAAAGGGUGCGUAGGCGGACGCUUAAGUCAGGAGUGAAAUUUUGCGGCUCAACCGUAGUAUAGCCGUUGAGACUGGGAGUCGUGAGUGCAGGAGAGGUACGCGGAAUUCGCGGUGUAGCGGUGAAAUGCAUAGAUAUCGCGAAGAACUCCGAUUGCGAAGGCAGCGUACUGGACUGUAACUGACGCUGAGGCUCGAAAGCGUGGGGAUCAAACAGGAUUAGAUACCCUUGUAGUC
rnacentral:rRNA from 1 species